AGCCAUGCAUGUCUCAGUACAAGCCGCAUUAAGGUGAAACCGCGAAAGGCUCAUUAAAUCAGUUAUGGUUCCUUAGAUCGUACCCACACUUACUUGGAUAACUGUGGUAAUUCUAGAGCUAAUACAUGCAAACAGAGCUCCGACCGGAGACGGGAGGAGUGCUUUUAUUAGAUCAAAACCAAUCGGCGGCGGGCGCGUCCGCGCGUCCGUUCGCCGCUCUACCUGGUGACUCUGAAUAACUUCACGCUGAUCGCACGGUCCCGCACCGGCGACGCAUCUUUCAAAUGUCUGCCUUAUCAACUGUCGAUGGUAGGUUCUGCGCCUACCAUGGUCGUAACGGGUAACGGGGAAUCAGGGUUCGAUUCCGGAGAGGGAGCCUGAGAAACGGCUACCACAUCCAAGGAAGGCAGCAGGCGCGCAAAUUACCCACUCCCGGCACGGGGAGGUAGUGACGAAAAAUAACGAUACGGGACUCAUCCGAGGCCCCGUAAUCGGAAUGAGUACACUUUAAAUCCUUUAACGAGGACCAAUUGGAGGGCAAGUCUGGUGCCAGCAGCCGCGGUAAUUCCAGCUCCAAUAGCGUA
rnacentral:rRNA from 1 species